GGUUCGAAUAAGAACGACGGGAGGAUAGGAUCUGGGAUGUCUGAAUAGUAGCAGUAGUACUAUAUAGUCCGGAUGCUAGUACAUUACUUAUUCAUUCGUUACUACUAGCUUUGCUGUCAAGACUAGCAAGCACUAGUAUCGAUUGAAACGAAGAAGAAAUCCCAACUCGUUUCAUUCGCUCGUUGAUCUCAAUCUUCAACCUAUUCGUCGAUUCACUCAUUCACACGUCACACGUUCAUAAAUCACAUCCGCGCAAAGAAGCGGACGGUCCGUCAUUGCGGAAAAGAAGGGAAGAAAUAUAUAUAUAUAUAUACAGGACCAUGUUAACAACUUCUUUCCACUACCGUCGCGGCCUUCUGCUGCGCCUUUACACAGCUUCCACUCCCAUUCCCAUUCCCAUUCCUUCGGCUUCUGCUUCUGCUUCUGCUUCUGCUUUCUCUUCUCUUCUCUCUUACUCUCUCUCUACCCCCUCUCCUUCUCCUUCACGUUUGCGGCACAAAUGCACCCAGGCGCAAUCGCAACUGCAAUUCGCACAAGCAGGAGCAGGAGCGAGAGCAGGGGGAGUUGCUGCCGCCGCAAACGCCAUUAAAGCGCCUUCGACAACAUCGUCGUGGCACGGAAUGGCGCAGAGCCGGCAGUUGCAUCUGACGCCGGCUUGUCACACGUUUCGGCCCGUGUGGACUGAGCGCCGCGUUAAGAUGCCAUGGGUUGAGGCGUUGGAGUUGG
rnacentral:sRNA from 1 species